AAUGCCGCGUCCGGUUAUUUUUAAAACCACAGUCUAUGCGCCGAGUCUCACUCUGCAAUGCUUUCUUCUUGUUUAUAUUAUUUUAGGCCAAAAGUGCGUUCCGGGUCGCCUGGUGGGCCUCCUGCAUCGACGGACCGAGGGGAGCUAGAGGAUCCCUGAAUUCCCACUGUGCCUCCAGAACAUGUGCUGACCAGGCCCGACGGCGCAACGUGGCCCACGGGAGCUCUGCGGUCUGAGACUACCUACAUGACGGAGCCUCAGUUUCCCCAUCUGUAAACUGGGGAGAAUCACAGUCCCACCCUCACAGGGCUGCUGGAAGAGGCCACGGGAUGGCAUGUCGGUGAAUACACGAAACCCAAACAAGAAAAUGAACCACACUUUUUCCUACUGGGAGAGAUGCACCCUGAUAUCUUCUAAUCACUUUUAAAAAGUGGGAGUUUCCAGCUCCCUGAUUUAAAUCCCUCGUGCACUCAGGGGUAAGCCAUUU